CUCAAAUGACAGCUAAUAUUCUAAUGUUAUCUGUGGAGGAGGCAAUAGAUUUGGCUUCACAUGAGCCUCUAUGUGACUGGAAAGGCUUAAAAUCUAAUGUUCACUUUCCAAAUUACUACAAGUUUCUUCAGUUUAGUAUGCUUCUACCAAAAUUAGUUACAUACUUCACUGUGGAAAGGUUGGAAUCUGCUUGUAAUAUUUGUGCUGCGUUUCUUCGUGCACACAGAGUUGCUCGACAACAAUUACAUGACUUCAUAGGUCUUAGGAGUUGUGAAAACAAGGCAAGCCACAUAUGUAGUGCUAAAUCACUUAAUUGAAUAUGUUCAAGACCUUGAGAAGGCUGGGAUUUUGGAGGAGAAAGAGAUGUUGCAUCUGCAUGAUGCUGUCCAGACUGAUUUAAAGAAAUUACUCAGAAAUCCUCCUUUGGUGAAGCUUCCUAAAAUAACUAGUAUGCAUCCUAUGUUGGGCGCUCUGCCUUCUCCAAUUCGUGAAUCACUUAUAAGUGGUACUAGGG